UACGUAGGGAGCAAGCGUUGUCCGGAAUCAUUGGGCGUAAAGCGCGCGUAGGUGGCCUCGUAAGUCCGCUGUGAAAGUCAAAGGCUCAACCUUUGAAAGCCGGUGGAUACUGUCGGGGCUAGAGUACGGAAGAGGCGAGUGGAAUUCCUGGUGUAGCGGUGGAAUGCGCAGAUAGUCAAGGAGGAACACCAAUAGCGAAGGCAGCUCGCUGGGACGUUACUGACACUGAGGCGCG
rnacentral:rRNA from 1 species